AGAAAUCGGCCUGGGAUUUCUUGUUGCCAUAGAAAUCUCUAUUGAGUUGCUUGCAGCUAAGAGCUUUCCUGGGCCAGGGAUGUCAGCUCCAGGUUUACCACUCUCCAGCCCCCAAAUCUUUUCUUAGAGAGGUGUUUGAACUUAUGCCUGCCAAGAAGAUAGCCAGAGUGAUGAGGAAAGUAGGGCUCGAAGCAUCCAGGAUACCCGGAGUACCACCACCCAGUUGUGUUGGCCCUCUGCUGCUUCCCUCCAAUGGGCUUCUUUGCCUUAUUCUUCUCUCACAAGACAAAAGUCUACAAGGAAGAGAACGAACAUGAAAAAGCACAAGUUGCCUCGGAUCGCACCCUCAUUUUGGCCUUGACCUCCAUCAUUGUAGGAAUCUUCAUUCUUCUCCUCUUUUUUUACCGAUUCUUCUUCAUUUAACCUGUCACAGCACACGGACAAACCAUCGGACACGUACAACCACGCCACUUAACCUUUGCGCAGCUUUAGACUCACCAGGACACCUUCUCUUUAAUGUCUGGAGCGCACAGCUGUUUGAGAUCAGAAAUAAAAACAACAGCAAUGAUAUCGUA